rnacentral:lncRNA from 1 species
CCAAAGUCAGGGAAUCAGGGAAGCCUUCCCCAAAGAGGUGGCAUUUGAACUGGGGCCUGAGUGGUGAAGCAGCCAGCCAUGGGAAGGGUUUGGGGAACAGGAUAUGCAAAGGCCCUGUGGUGGAAACAAGCCAGCUGUGGUUGAGGAACAACAGCAAGGCAGCCAGUGUGGCUGGAGUGGAGUGAGCAGGGUGGGCCAGGGGUGAGGGAGAACAGGCCAGAGAGAGGGAUUAGCACCAGGUCUUGUAGGGCCUUUUAUGGCAUAGAAGGAGCUCUGAAGCAAUGAAGUGCCUUGCCGUGUGUCACAUGCCAGCCGAGACAGUCUGCCUAACUCAGGAGCCAAAGCUCGCUGCUGGGCUUGAGGCCCCUGUAAGAGGACAAUGUAACCCAGGCUGGUAUGGGCACAUUCUGCAUUUCCACUUAAACUCAGAUGGCAAGCCCAUCAAACCCUGGUGCCAUGGCUGCCCUGGUAAUUCCUGGCUGAUCAGUGCAACCAGGGAGCUGGCCCAUGACCUGGGUGGCAGCUGAGUAGCCAGGACUCAUGCGGCCAAGAGUCAGCCUUCUUCCUGUGACUCAUCCAGGUGCACCCUGCGAUAUCUGAAGGUCAGGCUUUCAGCCGCUGUGGCUUCCACUUCCAACUGGCUCCACGUCCCCAGGGAGGGAUAACAUAGAGCUUUGCCAACACAUUCUAUUGCGUGUUUUAAUGUUCCUGUGAAUGCGCCCUUGAGAUUUCUCUCUCUCCCAUCCACACUGAGCUUAGAAGCAAAGUUAAAAGACUCAUCAGAUUCUGAGCUGCUGCGGGAUAUUUUGCAGAAGGUAAGAAUCCCAGAGUCCCUGGGACUCAUGACUCUGCCUCCUGAAUCUCUCCGGAAGACCUGAGAGAAGAACCACAGAUGUGCUUGUACCCUUUAAAAACAGCCCUCUUCAAAGAACAAAACCAUUGAGUCAGCACUGCAGACUGUGAAGCAUCCUGUGUGUGUGAAGCACCCACCGUCAGUCACGUGUGCCCGGUGCUUUCUCUCAGAACUCAUCAAGAAGCAUGAGGCUGUCCACACGGAGCCUUUGGAUGAGCUGUACAAGGCGCUGGCAGAGACUCUGAUGGCCAAGGAGUCCACCCAGGGCCACCGGAGCUAUUUGCUGGUAUGAGAAGGGCACCCUCCUCCCCCUCACAACCCUGAUACCCUUCCUGCACAGAAAAAGUGAAAAUGUGGGUGUGGGUUCAAAUCCUGACUCACCCAUUCUGCAGUCUUAGGCAUGAGGUCCGUUAACCUUCUUUAGCCUCAGUUUCCCUGUGUGUAAAUCAAGCACUUCAACAACAACAGCAUGUCUCGUGGAGUUGUUGGGCAUUUGUCCAAUAGGUGACACACACUACCUGCUUCACAAGGACCUGGUGCCCAAUCCUCAAAG